rnacentral:rRNA from 1 species
GACGUAGGGCGCGAGCGUUGUCCGGAUUUAUUGGGCGUAAAGAGCUCGUAGGCGGCUUGUCGCGUCGACUGUGAAAUCCCGCGGCUCAACUGCGGGUCUGCAGUCGAUACGGGCAGGCUAGAGUUCGGUAGGGGAGACUGGAAUUCCUGGUGUAGCGGUGAAAUGUGCAGAUAUCAGGAGGAACACCGGUGGCGAAGGCGGCAUCCUGGACCGGCAUUGACGCUGAGACGCGAAAGCGUGGGGAGCAAACAGG